UGAGUCGGCCAGGCGGUCGCGUCGGGCGUGGGCGACCACGCCCGCCGAGGAACGUCCGGGCUCCGCAGAGCAGGGUGGUGGGUAACGCCCACCCGGGGUGACCCGCGGGACAGUGCCACAGAGAACAGACCGCCUCGCCCGGUUCGCCGGGCGCGGCAAGGGUGAAACGGUGGUGUAAGAGACCACCAGCGCACCGGGUGACCGGUGCGGCUCGGCAAACCCCACCCGGAGCAAGGCCAGACAGGGAGCGUCCGAGGGUGGCUCGCCCGAGCUCCCGGGUAGGCCGCUGGAGGCGUGCGGCAACGUACGCCCGAGAUGGAUGGCCGCCACCGGCGCCGCGAGGCGCCGGGACAGAACCCGGCGUACCGGCCGACUCAUCCG
rnacentral:RNase_P_RNA from 1 species